GCCCAGAUGGUGAAAUUGGUAGACACGCUACUUUGAGGGGGUAGUGAUCGAAAGGUCGUGCAAGUUCGAGUCUUGUUCUGGGCACCA
rnacentral:tRNA from 1 species